rnacentral:snRNA from 1 species
AUACUUACCUGGACGGGGUCUAUGGCUGAUCAAAAAGGGUCGUGGCCUAAGUUGAUGAUCUCCAUUGCACAUAGGAGGGGUAUCAACUUAAUGUCUCUCCAAGUGGGAGUCGUACGUCAUAAUUUGUUUCUUUGAGGGUACGCGUUCGCGCGGCCCCUAC